GAAAAAAAGUUCGAAGGGAGGCCCCUAAGCGCAGUGGCACUGUCGUUGCACAGUUCGAAAGCAUCGUUCUUCUUCCUCUCGAUUGCCUCGGCCUCAUUUCUUCACAGGGCUCGUCCUAACGUCUACCUUCGAUCUCCGGUCUGCAGAUUUGGUCGAGAUACGAGAUCCGAAUAGCUUAACGUCUUUCUUGCGAAUCUUUAUCCGAAAAAAUGCCGCUCAGACUUGAGAUCAAGAGGAAAUUUGCUCAGCGAUCAGAGAGAGUAAAGUCCGUGGACCUGCAUCCAACAGAACCAUGGAUUCUGGCGAGUUUGUAUUCUGGAACGGUGUGUAUUUGGAACUACCAGACACAGACGGUAGCAAAAUCAUUUGAGAUGACCGAAUUACCAGUUAGGUCAGCCAAGUUUGUAGCACGCAAACAAUGGGUUGUGGCAGGAGCUGAUGAUAUGUAUAUUCGUGUAUACAAUUACAAUACAAUGGACAAGAUUAAAGUUUUUGAGGCUCAUACGGAUUACAUUAGGUGUGUGGCUGUCCACCCAACCCUUCCGUAUGUGCUGUCAUCUUCUGAUGAUAUGCUCAUAAAGCUUUGGGACUGGGAAAAGGGUUGGGCUUGUACUCAGAUAUUCGAGGGACAUUCCCACUAUGUGAUGCAAGUGACGUUUAAUCCAAAAGACACUAACACUUUUGCCAGUGCUUCACUUGAUCGUACCAUAAAGAUUUGGAAUCUUGGUUCCCCAGACCCGAAUUUUACACUCGACGCCCAUCAGAAAGGAGUAAACUGUGUAGAAUAUUUCACAGGAGGCGAUAAGCCCUACCUAAUUACCGGAUCUGAUGAUCACACAGCUAAGGUCUGGGACUAUCAAACCAGAAGUUGUGUCCAGACUCUGGAAGGGCACACACACAAUGUCUCUGCAGUUUGUUUCCAUCCCGAGCUUCCAAUUAUAAUUACAGGUUCUGAGGAUGGCACCGUUCGCAUAUGGCAUGCCACCACAUACAGGCUAGAGAACACACUGAAUUAUGGCCUCGAGAGAGUUUGGGCUGUCAGUUACAUGAAGGGUUCACGCCGGGUUGUGAUUGGGUAUGAUGAAGGAACCAUCAUGGUUAAACUUGGACGAGAAAUUCCAGUUGCUAGCAUGGACUCUAGCGGGAAAAUCAUAUGGGCUAAGCAUAACGAAAUUCAAACUACGAACAUCAAAAGUAUUAGUGCAGAUCUUGAGGUUACCGAUGGUGAGAGAUUGCCCUUGGCUGUUAAAGAAUUGGGAACCUGUGAUCUUUAUCCACAAAGCUUGAAGCACAAUCCUAAUGGAAGGUUUGUCGUUGUCUGCGGUGAUGGCGAGUACAUAAUCUACACAUCUUUGGCUUGGAGAAACAGGUCUUUUGGUUCUGGACUAGAAUUUGUGUGGUCAUCUGAAGGGGAAUACGCAGUUAGAGAAAGCUCGUCAAAGAUUAAGAUUUUCAGCAAAAAUUUCCAGGAAAAGCGGAAUGUCCGGCCUACUUUCUCAACUGAGAAGAUUUUUGGAGGAACCUUAUUAGCUAUGUGUUCAAAUGAUUUCAUUUGCUUUUAUGAUUGGGCUGAAUGUAGGCUAAUUCAACGGAUUGACGUCACUGUAAAGAAUCUUUAUUGGGCUGACAGUGGCGAUUUAGUAGCCAUUGCUAGUGAUACGUCAUUCUACAUUCUGAAGUACAAUCGAGACUUGGUUUCCUCGCACUUUGAUAGUGCAAGGCCAUCUGAUGAAGAAGGUAUCGAGGAUGCUUUUGAGGUUCUCCAUGAAAAUGAUGAACGUGUUAGGACAGGUAUAUGGGUUGGUGACUGUUUCAUUUACAAUAAUUCUUCAUGGAGGCUUAACUACUGUAUCGGAGGCGAGGUGACCACAAUGUACCAUUUAGACCGCCCAAUGUAUUUGUUAGGUUAUCUUGCUAAUCAAAGUCGUUUGUUCUUGAUUGACAAAGAAUUCAAUGUUAUCGGAUAUAUCCUACUGCUUAGCCUGAUUGAGUACAAGACUCUCGUGAUGCGAGGUGAUUUGGAGAAAGCCAAUGAAGUUUUACCCACAAUUCCUAAAGAGCACCAUAAUAGUGUCGCUCAUUUCUUGGAGUCACGGGGUAUGAUUGAAGAUGCUUUAGAAAUUGCAACAGACCCAGACUACAGAUUCGAGUUGGCCAUACAACUGGGCCGGCUUGAAAUUGCAAAGGAAAUUGCUCAAGAAAUGCAGAGCGAGUCUAAAUGGAAGCAGUUAGGCCAGUUAGCCAUGUCCUCUGGAAAGUUGCAAAUGGCAGAGGAUUGCAUGGAAUAUGCGAUGGAUUUGAGCGGCUUAUUGCUGUUCUAUUCUUCUCUGGGAGAUGUCGAAGGGAUUUCAAAACUUGCAUCUCUUGCUAAAGAGAAGGGGAAGAACAAUGUCGCCUUUCUUUGCUUGUUCAUGCUGGGUAAAUUGGAAGAUUGUCUGCAGUUAUUGAUUGAGAGCAAUCGGGUACCAGAAGCUGCUCUGAUGGCACGAUCUUAUCUUCCAAGCAAAGUUUCUGAGAUAAUUGGAAUUUGGAGGAAAGAUCUUAGCAAGGUUAAUCCAAAAGCAGCAGAAUCUUUGGCUGACCCUGUAGAGUACCCAAAUCUUUUUGAGGAUUGGCAAAUCGCUCUUUCGGUUGAAGAAAAAGCCGCAGAGAUGAGGGGAGUUUAUAUAGCUGCGGAGAAUUAUCCAAGCCAUGCUGAUAACUCCCACAUAACACUUGUGGAAGCCUUUAGAAACAUGCAAAUUGAGGAAGAGGAAACUCUUGAAAAUGGAGAUGUCGAUCAUGAGGUAGCAGAAGAAAAUGGGAAUGAACAGAACGAAGUGGAUGUAGAGGAACGGCAUGAAGAAAGAGAGACUCAAGGAGAGCAUGAAGAAGGAGAGACUCAGGAACAGCAUGAGGGAGGAGCUGCUCAUACCGACUUUACAGAUGGUGCCGUGCUUGUAAACAGAAGUGAGGCUGACGAAGAGUGGGAUUCAAAUAACGAAGGAAACCCAUCAGCCUAAUUUAGCAGAAAGUCGAAAUUUUGUCUCUGAGUUUACAGGGCAUCAUCACUAGUUUCAGCUUUGGGAAUGGGCAGUUCCAACACUUGAAGUUGAAGGAAAAAUUCUGAAGAACCACAGGACUCGUUCUUUUGCUGGAUUUUGAUUGAUGAGCUUGUGCUUGUGAACUGGUGGGUUUCUUCUUUCGGUUUUACCACAGAAUCAAGUUCCAGAUCUUCGGAGUUCUCCCUGUGUAAAUUCAAGAAUUCGUCUUUCAUAUCUCGUGAUUCGGUUGUCAUAGCAUUGACCGAGGGAGAAAACAAUUGGAAAUUCGACUAUGGACAGUGAAGGAAAGGGGGUUUUCUUUUCAUUAGGCAAAAAAUAAAGGAGGGGUAAAUUUGGUAAUUAGGAAUUUUCACCUCCACUUUUCUUUUUUGUUUCUAUGGUAAAUUUAAUUAGUUAUCCUAAAAUCUAAAUAUUGUUUGAAAAUGUAUUUUAGAGAUUUUUAAAACUAAUUUUGUGUAGUCGGAUAUGAUUCAUUAGUAUUUUAAUGGUGGUUUUCA